rnacentral:rRNA from 1 species
CCCUUAGAUGUUCUGGGCCGCACGCGCGCUACACUGACGAAGUCAGCGAGCAUCUCCUACGCCGAAAGGUGCGGGGAAUCUUGUGAAACUUUGUCGUGCUGGGGAUUGAUUUUUGAAAUUCUUGAUCAUCAACGAGGAAUUCCUAGUAAGCGCAAGUCAGCAGCUUGCGUUGAUUACGUCCCUGCCCUUUGUACACACCGCCCGUCGCUACUACCGAUUGAAUGGUUUAGUGAGAUUUUUGGACUGGAACUCUCUUGUUCAGCAAUGAACGAGAGGGACUCUGGGAAGCUAUUCUAACUGUAUCAUUUAGAGGAAGUAAAAGUCGUAAC